rnacentral:rRNA from 1 species
AAAUGAUCCUUGUCUGACGGUACCUUACCAGAAAGCCACGGCUAACUACGUGCCAGCAGCCGCGGUAAUACGUAGGUGGCAAGCGUUAUCCGGAAUUAUUGGGCGUAAAGCGCAUGUAGGCGGCUUUUUAAGUCUGGUGUGAAAGCCUGUGGCUCAACCACAGAAUUGCAUUGGAUACUGGAAAGCUAGAAUCUUGGAGAGGUAAGUGGAAUUUCAGUGUGUAGCGGUGGAAUGCGUAGAUAUAUGAAGGAACACCAAUGGCGAAGGCAGCUUACUGGACAAGUAUUGACGCUGAGAUGCGAAAGUGUGGGUAGCAAACAGGAUUAGAUACCCUCGUAG